rnacentral:lncRNA from 1 species
UAAUGGUCCGAGUACACAGUUAUUUCGUAGUGCAUUUCUUUUAGACAAUAAAUGAAAAUUAAAAAAAAUCCCACCUGCGCUUUCUCAAUAAUAUUUUUACAGUGUGUUGUACUACUUUUGGGACAAAUUAUAUCAAAAUUAUAGAAAACUUCAUCAGCUCUAACUCAAAAUAUGGACAAUCUUAUGUUAAAGGGGUCUUGAAAUCUUUUGACAGCUUCCGAAGUGCUAAUUUUUGACCUUUUUCAGCUGGACCUAAUCACUACUUUACAUUAAUAUUUAUGACCCAAAUUUUUUUACAGUGUCAUUUCACCCCCCAACUUGCUAUAUGAGGCAUAAAACAUGGAGAAAUAAAUUUGGAAGGGGUAUAACAAAAAUUGGCAAGUAACACACUGUCCACACUAAGGACUAUAUUCGUGGACAACGAAAAUCAAAGGACGAUAACUGUGUACUCGGACCUAAUAGGAUAGAAAAAGUUGACCAAUCUUAAUAAAACUUGGUAUGACUAAAGCUUAAUAUAUUACAAGACUGCUUACAAAGUUUCAUAGCAAUAGGAUAUAUAUUAUAGAC